AUUGAACGCUGGCGGCAUGCCUUACACAUGCAAGUCGAACGGUAACAGGUCUUCGGAUGCUGACGAGUGGCGAACGGGUGAGUAAUACAUCGGAACGUGCCUAGUAGUGGGGGAUAACUACUCGAAAGAGUGGCUAAUACCGCAUGAGAUCUACGGAUGAAAACAGGGGAUCGCAAGACCUUGUGCUAUUAGAGCGGCCGAUGGCAGAUUAGGUAGUUGGUGGGAUAAAAGCUUACCAAGCCGACGAUCUGUAGCUGGUCUGAGAGGACGAUCAGCCACACUGGGACUGAGACACGGCCCAGACUCCUACGGGAGGCAGCAGUGGGGAAUUUUGGACAAUGGGCGCAAGCCUGAUCCAGCAAUGCCGCGUGCAGGAUGAAGGCCUUCGGGUUGUAAACUGCUUUUGUACGGAACGAAAAGCCCUGGGUUAAUACCCUGGGGUCAUGACGGUACCGUAAGAAUAAGCACCGGCUAACUACGUGCCAGCCGCCGCCGUAA
rnacentral:rRNA from 1 species